GCUCUCGUAGCUCAGGUGGAUAGAGCGACGGUUUCCUAAACCGUAGGUCACAGGUUCAAGUCCUGCCGGGAGUA
rnacentral:tRNA from 1 species